rfam:Pseudoalteromonas sp. A601 contig1, whole genome shotgun sequence.
CGUUUUGGCUGAAUUAGUGAUCGGCUAAGACACCUUUUACAUUUAUUUUUGGAGUUACUAUGUCACUAAGCAAUCAAGAAAAAAUCGAUAUCAUCGCAAAAUUCGCACGUGCAGAA